UAGGGAAUCUUCCGCAAUGGACGCAAGUCUGACGGAGCAACGCCGCGUGAGUGAAGAAGGAUUUCGGUUCGUAAAACUCUGUUGUUAGAGAAGAACAGCGCAUAGAGUAACUGUUAUGCGUGUGACGGUAUCUAACCAGAAAGCCACGGCUAACUACGUGCCAGCAGCCGCGGUAAUACGUAGGUGGCAAGCGUUGUCCGGAUUUAUUGGGCGUAAAGCGAGCGCAGGCGGUCAAUUAAGUCUGAUGUGAAAGCCCCCGGCUCAACCGGGGAGGGUCAUUGGAAACUGGUUGACUUGAGUGCAGAAGAGGAGAGUGGAAUUCCAUGUGUAGCGGUGAAAUGCGUAGAUAUAUGGAGGAACACCAGUGGCGAAGGCGACUCUCUGGUCUGUCACUGAAGCUGAGGCUCGAAAGCGUGGGUAGCAAACAGG
rnacentral:rRNA from 1 species